ensembl:lncRNA
CUGCUUCUCCCGUGUCAACAAAGUAUCGUACAAGCUCAGUGUGUGUGUGUGAGAGAGUGUGUGUGAGAGUGUGUGUGAGUGUGACACAAUGGAUACACGUUUCUACCUCAACUGGGAUUUAUAAGGAAGGAAGAAACAGGACUUUACUCUGUUUAUCGACCGAACGCUCAGGAGCGGACCAGGGCCUGAAUGAGGGCUUUGAGAACGCCAGCGAGAGCGUUUGACAGUUGCUCAGCCUAAUCCCUCUGGAGCUGAUAAGCAGUGGCUAAACAAACGUAGCGCGAGCAACACUGGAGUCGGAGAUAAGAGACACGCACAACGCCCCCUCCUUCCUCCAACAACCACCCCCCACCCCUCCCACACACACACAC